CCAAGCUUCUGCCCAGUCCCUUGUCCUCACUCCACUGGGGUCCCCUCUCAGCUGUGCCCAAGCCACAACCUCCUCCCAGCAGUGUCCAGCCCCUGUUCCCUCACACUGGCUCACGUGGCCGUCAGCUCAACCCUCUCCUUGCCCCAGCAGCCUGCUCUGAGGCCAGAAAACUGUUACCAAGACCAAGGACACGCUGCAUUUCUCACCUUGGCCAUCCUCACUCUCCUGCAGGAUAACACGAGUAGAAGGCAAGACAUCCUUACCUGGCCAGGCUGGGUGGAGCAGAGGGGGGACCUGUGAAGUGGAAAUGAUGAUGUGGGUUAGCAAUGAGGUCAGAGUGGGCUGGGGAGCCAGGAGUGACCUAGAGUUGCUAGGAAGCUGCACUGGAGUGUGGUUGUGACACUACAGUGAAUGGGAAGAAGCCCGGAUGUCUGGCACGUGGCCCUCUCCGUGUGCUUGGGAAUUAGGCACUGGAAUAUAAGGAGCAAAGCAUUUUUGGUUGGUCUGACAACUUCUACUGUUCAAGACAAGUGGUGGCUUCCAUGAGUGUGACAUCAGACUGUCCCUACAGGUGGGUCACAGUGGUGUGACAUCUCAUUCUUGUCAGUCCCCUCCUGCCCAUGCCACCACUCAGCAGCACUGGCUGGGGACCAGUGGCCUCCUGGCUGCUUGGGGUAUGGUAUUCCCUCAGCCCAUGGGCUGAUUUUCAUCUCCUUUGAGCUGGGCACUCCCUGAUCUCACAGCCUUGGCGUGGCUGGAAGACUAGACAACAAAAAUAGAGUUUGCAAACACCUACUACAAGUCGUCCUCUUUGUCCAUGUCAUCCUUCAGCAGGAGCAUCAGGACCAGUGGUCUGAUUACUUUGCACACUGCCCUUAGUAGCUGUUAAACAUAAUUCAUGCCACCAGCAGCUGAGAAACCAGAGGUUUGAUUUUAUCUAUUUGUGAUGCAAAGUUUUUGGUGGUGUGACUCUUCUUAAGCCUUUCACCACUCAUG